UCUUCGAUGGUCUAGUGGUCAUGAUUUCCGCUUGUCAUUGCGAAAUAACAAGCGCGGGAGACCGGGGUUCGAUUCCCCGUCGGAGAG